rnacentral:lncRNA from 1 species
GGUCACAAUUCAUAUUGAUAUUUAAAUGGCAUCUGGAUGCUGCAUAUUGCAUAUUAGAAACUUUCAGGACAUCAGGAAUAAAAAGGCAAUUGUAAAACUCUGCAGAGCAACCAAUCAUAUUAUGGUUAUUUUUUCGCAAAGAGCAGGCCUUUUUACAGUGAGAUAUCAUGAUGGAUUUUAUUCAAACAGCAGGAUGGGGCAGGGCUUGUCUGCA